CCCCCGCCCUGCCCCGGGCGCACGGGCUGCGGGGGUGGGGACUCUCCCUGAGGUCACCAGGGGCUCCGCCUUGAGGUCACAGCCGCGGGAGGCCGUGCUCGUGCUUUGGAGCUCCAUGUGAUGUGGUCGGUGGAAGACGUCUCCUUUGUCAGAAUCCGCGCUCAGAUUCCCGGAAUAGCUGCCAGACCGACCCCAGCGUUUAGCCCGGGAAGGGGAGGCCCUGUUGACAGAAGAGAAGACUCAAGCCUGAUUUGCAGAUAGCUCUGCAUAGGACACAGCUACCAGACAGAAAUGGCCAGAGGGAAGGGAAGCCCAACUUUCAUCCUUCCGGGAAUAACACCUUUCCUGGGGACAGGUUUACACUGAUUUCUGGGUGGUGUCUGGUGAUUUUGUCAGAGUGGGAAGAGCUAAUGCAAGGCAUAUAUUGGAGUUAAUCACUUUUGUGAGCAACUGAGCUCUAUCUGCUGGAUCUUAUGAGAAUAAG
rnacentral:lncRNA from 1 species